rnacentral:rRNA from 1 species
CUGCCCUUUGUACACACCGCCCGUCGCUACUACCGAUUGAAUGGCUCAGUGAGGCGUCCGGACUGGCCCAGAGAGGUGGGCAACUACCACUCAGGGCCGGAAAGCUCUCCAAACUCGGUCAUUUAGAGGAAGUAAAAGUCGUAACAAGGUCUCCGUUGGUGAACCAGCGGAGGGAUCAUUACCGAGUUUACAACUCCCAAACCCCUGUGAACAUACCACUUGUUGCCUCGGCGGAUCAGCCCGCUCCCGGUAAAACGGGACGGCCCGCCAGAGGACCCCUAAACUCUGUUUCUAUAUGUAACUUCUGAGUAAAACCAUAAAUAAAUCAAAACUUUCAACAACGGAUCUCUUGGUUCUGGCAUCGAUGAAGAACGCAGCAAAAUGCGAUAAGUAAUGUGAAUUGCAGAAUUCAGUGAAUCAUCGAAUCUUUGAACGCACAUUGCGCCCGCCAGUAUUCUGGCGGGCAUGCCUGUUCGAGCGUCAUUUCAACCCUCAAGCACAGCUUGGUGUUGGGACUCGCGUUAAUUCGCGUUCCUCAAAUUGAUUGGCGGUCACGUCGAGCUUCCAUAGCGUAGUAGUAAAACCCUCGUUACUGGUAAUCGUCGCGGCCACGCCGUUAAACCCCAACUUCUGAAUGUUGACCUCGGAUCAGGUAGGAAUACCCGCUGAACUUAAG